rnacentral:rRNA from 1 species
GACGAACGCUGGCGGCGUGCUUAACACAUGCAAGUCGAACGGAAAGGCCCUGCUUUUGUGGGGUGCUCGAGUGGCGAACGGGUGAGUAACACGUGAGUAACCUGCCCUUGACUUUGGGAUAACUUCAGGAAACUGGGGCUAAUACCGGAUAGGAGCUCCUGCUGCAUGGUGGGGGUUGGAAAGUUUCGGCGGUUGGGGAUGGACUCGCGGCUUAUCAGCUUGUUGGUGGGGUAGUGGCUUACCAAGGCUUUGACGGGUAGCCGGCCUGAGAGGGUGACCGGCCACAUUGGGACUGAGAUACGGCCCAGACUCCUACGGGCGGCAGGAGUGGGGAAUAUUGCACAAUGGGCGGAAGCAUGAUGCAGCAACGCCGCGUGCGGGAGGACGGCCUUCGGGUGGGAAACCGCUUUCGCCUGUGACGAAGCGUGAGUGACGGUAAUGGGUAAAGAAGCACCGGCUAACUACGU